rnacentral:rRNA from 1 species
AACGAACGCUGGCGGCAGGCUUAACACAUGCAAGUCGAACGCCCCGCAAGGGGAGUGGCAGACGGGUGAGUAACGCGUGGGAAUCUACCCAGUUCUACGGAACAACUGAGGGAAACUUCAGCUAAUACCGUAUACGCCCUACGGGGGAAAGAUUUAUCGGAAUUGGAUGAGCCCGCGUUGGAUUAGCUAGCUGGUGAGGUAACGGCUCACCAAGGCGACGAUCCAUAGCUGGACUGAGAGGAUGAUCAGCCACACUGGGACUGAGACACGGCCCAGACUCCUACGGGAGGCAGCAGUGGGGAAUAUUGGACAAUGGGCGCAAGCCUGAUCCAGCCAUGCCGCGUGAGUGAUGAAGGCCUUAGGGUUGUAAAGCUCUUUCAGUGGGGACGAUAAUGACGGUACCCACAGAAGAAGCCCCGGCUAACUUCGUGCCAGCAGCCGCCGUAAGAC